AGACAAGAGUUCUUGUAGAGCAGAAAUCAAGCCUGAGAAACAAACCACAUGGGUUUAAGAAGUUGUUAAACUGGCCAGUCCUGCAGUGUGAGUUCCUGCUACCUGGUCCCAGGCAAUAUUCAAAGGUGCGAUAACAAGAAUAUAUUUCCUCUGAAUCCAGAAGUCAGCCUGGGUCCUUGAGGUGACCUUGUGGUCUACUUUCUAGAGUCUAACUGCAGCAGGAUGGCUCUACUCAGCAUGCGGUUACAUCAUGGAGUUCUUAGUACCGCAUCGGUCCUCCUCCACGGCAUCUGCCUCUGUGCUGCUUCCAGCCCGGUCUUCCCGUCCGUCUGCAGUGGCUUGCUUCUCAUCCAUGCCUUUCCAGACCUCUCCCAACUCACCCUUUGUUUUGUUCUUUUAUCUACCCUUGUCAUCCAGAGCACUUAGCUGCCGGUUCUGCUUUUAUAAAUAUUUUUAAAAAAAUAAACCCCUUCAUUCCUUCGUGAA